UAACACGUGGGCAACCUGCCUCAUAGAGGGGAAUAGCCUUCCGAAAGGGAGAUUAAUACCGCAUAAGAUUGUAGCUUCGCAUGAAGUAGCAAUUAAAGGAGUAAUCCGCUAUGAGAUGGGCCCGCGGCGCAUUAGCUAGUUGGUGAGGUAACGGCUCACCAAGGCGACGAUGCGUAGCCGACCUGAGAGGGUGAUCGGCCACAUUGGGACUGAGACACGGCCCAGACUCCUACGGAAGGCAGCAG
rnacentral:rRNA from 1 species